rnacentral:rRNA from 1 species
AUGCAGGCGAUUGAUAAAGUUGGACAAACGUUGAUUGUUCCAAAAGUUGGAUUGGCUUUCGAUUCAGAGGACAGCGCUUAUGAUAUGUACAACGUAUAUGCCGCCAAGGUUGGGUUCAGUGUCAGAAAAAGUCACACAAAGCGACGAGGUGAUAAAAGUAUAUCUCAAAAAUAUAUAGUUUGCAGUAACGAAGGCCAUCGAGAUACCCAAUCAUCUAAGGACACUACAAGGACAGGUUGUGAGGCUCGUAUUCAGUUUAGUGUCAACAAGGAUGGUAUUUGGACAGUGCAAAAGCUUAUAACCGAGCACAAUCAUUAUCUUGCUAGUCCCAAUAAGGUGCACAAGCUGAGGUCCCAAAGACGUGUUAUAGAAGCGGAUAUACAUCUAAUUGGCCAGAUACGGGAAGCCGGGAUGAAGCCAUCCCAGGUAUAUGACUUUAUGGUAGCAUUUUACGGAGGACCCGACAAAGUACCAUUCUCAAAGAUGGACUGCAAUAAUGAGAUUGGUCGCGAACGCAAGAAGUAUUUAGAAUCAAAUGAUGCACAGACACUGUUGGAAUACUUGAAAAAUAAGCAAAGAGAGGAUCCUACAUUUUUUAUGCCAUUCAGAUAG